GACGAACGCUGGCGGCGUGCUUAACACAUGCAAGUCGAACGGAAAGGCCCUGCUUUUGUUGGGUGCUCGAUUGGCGAACGGGUGAGUAACACGUGAGUAACCUGCCCUUGACUUUGGGAUAACUUCAGGAAACUGGGGCUAAUACCGGAUAGGAGCUCCUGCUGCAUGGUGGGGGUUGGAAAGUUUCGGCGGUGGGGGAUGGACUCGAGGCUUAUCAGCUGGUUGGUGGGGUAGUGGCUUACCAAGGCUUUGACGGGUAGCCGGCCUGAGAGGGUGACCGGCCACAUUGGGACUGAGAUACGGCCCAGACUCCUACGGGAGGCAGCAGUGGGGAAUAUUGCACAAUGGGCGGAAGCCUGAUGCAGCAACGCCGCGUGCGGGAUGACGGCCUUCGGGUUGUAAACCGCUUUCGCCUGUGACGAAGCGUGAGUGACGGUAAUGGGUAAAGAAGCACCGGCUAACUACGUG
rnacentral:rRNA from 1 species